rnacentral:lncRNA from 1 species
UAAAAAAAGAAAAAAAUAAUAACUCUGCCCUUUCUACACUGAAGUAUCAUAGAUAUGAAGUUAUAAAUGAGGAAACCUAGGUUCAUGUUUUAUUUAUAACUAUUACCUUUGAUUUAUGGUGUUGAAAAACACAUUCAACCUAAUUUAUGCAGGAAUUAACUUUGGUAGAGAUUAAUUUUGGAUCUAUGGCCCCUUCCUAAAAUAUAUCAUCUCUAUUCAUAAUCUGGGCUUGCAGACAGAGAUGGGAGUGAGGAAAAGAAAAAAAAAAAAAAACCUUCCAGAAGGGAAAUACUUUUAAGUCCUUAAAUGAGGAUAACAGAAUGUUUUUAAAAUUAAGAUUCCCUUGAAGUUCAGAGCCAGAAUUUAGAAUGAACUAAACGGUGUUUUCCACUGAGUUUGGACAUUUGGUAGAGCAUUUUAUAUGAAAAUACAUAAAAUAGAAGAAAAUAAAAAACAGGACCAUGGUAUACAUUAAUGCUUAAUAAUAAGUCAAUAAUAACUCUGAAAUAUUUAACCAGUAUUACUCUUAUGUUAUCUGUGUCAUAUCUUAUAGACUACUGAGCACAUGUGUGUCUGAGUGUGUGUCUUGGAAGAGGAAAAGGAUAGGAAGGAGAGGGGAAAAAAAUCAAAGGGAAAAAUUUUAAAAAAAUCAAAGAGAAGUACAAAAUAUAGCUCUGAGCCUCAGGACAGUCGGGGGAAAAAGGCUAUAAUGAGUGUCACGCCUAAUACAAGAAAGCAUGUUAGUUUGCCAAGAGGGCUUAAUUUUCAGAAAGUCGCCUUUGUUUUAAAAAACAAACAACAUAGUAGGUAGUGUCUCUUUUGCUUUUCUUUUCUUAGACCCCAACUAUCUUUGCCGUUUCACACCUCACUGGCUGAGAUGAGUCACUCACUGACAUUACCUGCCUGACCCCAGUCCGCACUUGUGCUUGUGACCCCUGGUCCUGAGGCUGCUGUUGAAAGCUCAUCAUGCCUCUUCCUGUGGAAGCCUCGGGCCAGUCAAAGAGCCACCAGAGGCUGGAGCUUCUGGGUUCAAUCCCCGGGUUAAUGGGCUUGGAGAAGUGGACCUGGACUCCAGGUCCAGAAGGAAAGAGAAGAUUCAGCCCCAACACAAAGCUGCCUCUAUUUCCUGAGAAGCAAGAGGAAGCAACCACUCACCUCAGAGUUUCUGGAGCAACCAUUUCUUGAGCAUCCUUAUUUUGUGAUUGAUAAAAGUUCUUCUGUCAAUGAGAGCACAUGUUCUAACGGUGGUAGGGGUGAGGGGUGGAGAGGUUGGGAAAAAUAUACGUCUAGGAGCAAACAGAAAUUGAUGUUGGAAAACUUUGUUCAUAGUGUAGGGACUCCCUGCAAAUAUUAACAUACUGUGUUACUAAGAAGGGCCAUGGGCCAGCGAGGCAGGAGGUUGGUUUAUCUGUUUGGCUCAUUCUCAGUUUCAUCCUAAGUAGAAACUGGGGCUCUGAUGAAUGAUGGGGACAGAAGAAUGGCAGAGUAUGGAGCUGGAAACACAAGCGAGGGCCUGAAGCCCCUAGCUGUAUACCAUUUGGUGUCCUGGACAGGUAGAGGCGUCCAGAUGGCGCCGGAGACCCUGGUUGGGGGGAUGGGGAGACUCAACAGAAUGAAGGACUGGGAAAAGCUUUGCCUGUUCCCUUGUUUCACUUAAAGUGAAGUGAAGUGAAGUGAAAUCGCUCAGUCGUGUCCGACUAUUUGCGACCCCAUGGACUGUAGCCUACCAGGCUCCUCCCUCCAUGGAAUUCUCCAAGCAAGAGUACUGGAGUGGGUUGCCAUUUCCUUCUCCAGGGUUGUUUCCCUUAAGCCAACGUUAAUUCCUGGGGGUUGUGGUCAAAAAAUGCCACUUGCAUAUCAG